rnacentral:rRNA from 1 species
UACGGAGGGGGCUAGCGUUGUUCGGAAUUACUGGGCGUAAAGCGCGCGUAGGCGGAUCUGCAAGUCGGGGGUGAAAUCCCGAGGCUCAACCUCGGAACUGCCUUCGAUACUGCGGGUCUCGAGUCCGGGAGAGGUGAGUGGAAUUCCUAGUGUAGAGGUGAAAUUCGUAGAUAUUAGGAAGAACACCAGUGGCGAAGGCGGCUCACUGGCCCGGUACUGGACGCU